UGUUCCUGUCCAGGCAUGGUUCCACAUGCAGAAGUAGUGGUGGUGUAACCUUGGCUGAUUAGCGUCCUCGUUUCAAACACCAUAAAAGAAGCAACAUGCAGGCUGCUAUGGAUAUAACUGCAAAGUACUGCCGUAAAGAAAUGGAAGCGUAUGGGUUAUGUGUAGCCUCCAAUCCAUCAACAUGGCAGCAGAAGUGUCACGAGCUGAAGAUGAAUGUUGCACAAUGUACAUCAUCACACCCAGUCAUCCAGAAGAUCAGGCAGGAGUGUUCCAAUGAGUUUGUGGAGUUUGAGCGCUGCCUGAGAGAACAUCAGGGACAACCUGUCUCCUGCUCGCCACAUGUGGCUCGCUUUCUGGGCUGUGCAGAGACAGUUGACCUCAGUGGAGUGGCUACAAAUCCAGUAUCUCAACCAUCUUAGCACAAGAUGUCCUCCAUUACCAGAAAACACCUGUAUCUACACCACUGCCACCAGGUCUGAGUCAGAGUCAAAUAUUAAACUGGAAUGUAUUGCUCCCACACAAACUAUCCUGGCUACUCAGUGACUGAGCAAUAGGGAGUCUGGGAAGAAAGGAGAGGGCUGUCUAGCUCUAAUCAGUGGGACUACUGAAAGAGACAGAGGGAGGAUGUUGAGUUAUGAACCCUGUGACCACUAAGCAGAACAGACAUUUUCUGGUUGAGUUAUUAAAGUUUUGAGUGGAAAGACUGAGAGGAAACUGAUUCCUUGCUUUUAAAGUGCAUCUUUGUUUCGUACCAUUUGAGCAAGUGAUAAAUGUGUCAUCAUUUAUUGUAUUUAGGACAAAGAAGCCAAGUGUUGUUCAAAGACGAAACCGCAGAUUGUAUUGAAGAUACGGCAACAUUACAUUCAAAGCACAUCACCUGGCAGUCACUGAUCAAAAAAGAGUGGAGCUGCUCGCUAUUCAGUUGAGGUGGUGUAAGCCCAUGUCGAAAUGGCUCUCCACCAUAAAUGUUGGGGUCCAGAGCAAGGAGCUGCUGACGUGGCAGAGAUGGAUAUCCCAGCAUCCCAUCCAUGCCAUGGGUACUAGAUCCAUCUAUAUAAAGAUUCAAAACGCCCAAAACUUUAACCAUACCAGUCUUUCUUUCCAUCUUUUUUUCUUUCCUUCUUGAUCUUGUAGUGGUACUCAAAGCUCUUACCCUCGCUGUCGUCAUUGCUUUGGCGGCCGCCUCUGCUCGGUCCCCUCCUGGUGCCUCCCAGCUGCUCUUGUUCCUGCUGCUGCUGCUGCUGCUGUUGCUGUCGGCGAGCUAACUUUUUCAUCUGACGCACAAAAGCACACGGUGUACAAAGUUUCUCUUUGUGCUUUUGUGAGCAUGCCUUUAGGAAAACUAUAAAGUCUUACCUUGGCUCUCUGGUUUUGAAACCACACCUGAACAACACGCACUGUCAGCCCAGUCUCUGCAGCCAGUGUCUCUCUCACCUAGAGGAUAGAGGUUUUAAUUGUUUUAAAAAUCUUAACUUCACAGUGCCAAACACAGCAGCCAUACCCUUGAAAAAUGAAGUUUGGAAAGCAUGACCAGGAGUAUCUUGUGGCAUACUGACAAGACCAACAGCCCACCUUACGGCAUGGUUUGGCUGACACUUCAAAGGAGGCCUUGAAAGCACGCCGCUGCUGUGUGGUCAAGAUAGUGCGUGGACGUUUUGAACGCUUGUGCUCCUUGCCUUCAUCACCACCUUUCCCUCCUCCGGAGCCUCCUCCACCAUCCUCAUCCUCACUUUUUACUGAGCAAGUUAAGUAAACAACAGCACAAUCAGAACAGUGCUCUGCAAACAGUUACAUUUGAAACAAAUAUUUUCCAUGUAGUUUACAGUAACAGUUUGUUCAUUCUCAUGGAAGAAAACGGUACUGCUUAAAUUACUUUCAACAUACUGCUGAAAACUAUCCUCACUAUUUAAAAUUCAAUAAUUGCGCCUUCAUUUAAAAUUUUAAAAAAGGAAGAAGCUUGAAACUUUUUUCUUUUUUGUUUUUUUCUUGAAACUGCUUUUGUCUUAAAUAUCAAGGUUUUUCUUUCAAAUACUGUUUACUGAUUUAAAGGGGAUGAAAAUGAUUGAUUUUGACUAAAGACAUGAGUGUAAAAAGAAAGAUUAUUUCCCCAAGAAAAGUAAUUUUGACCUUUAUUAUGUAUUCUCCAAAGAAACCUGCUUUACCUGAUUCAGUUGGUGUAGGGCUGAUGGCAGCCAGCAUUUCCCUCUCCUUUUCAUAGUCCAUGCGGCAGAGCAGCUGGCCUUCUUUCAGCACAAACUCAUCACCUCUCUGCAGCCGACGUUCACACUCACAGCAGCUGAAGCAGCCCAGGUGGUAUACCUGGCCUAGCACACGCAUUAUCAGCUCAGAGCGUCCAAUGACUUGCAAGCAGGCACUGCACUUUCUUACAAAAAGCCUGGAGGGGCACAGAAACAUACACACGUGGGCUUAUAUUUUCAUGGAUACAUCCAUAAACUGUGAAACGUGGCAUGAUAACAGUCUAGCAGCUUAGAAUAAGAAGUAAAUUAAUUAAAGAUGGCAGCACAAACAAGAAGCUCUGACACAUUUACCCUUAGCGCCAAUGAUUCUGGAGAUUAGCAUAGUCUCUUAAUUAAAGGUCCUAUAAGCAUUACCCAAUUCGCAGUGCAACAAGGUGAACAUCUGUUAGAUGGGUAACAGUAGUCUGUAUUAUUACAUUGUUUUUUAUUUUUAACAUUCUCACAGUAGGGGGCAGUAGUUAGCUUCUUAAAAAGAUGUCUGUGGAGAGUUUUUCCCCAUUUAAAUCCUUGAAUGUUAAGAUUUCCUUGGUGAAGUGAACUCCACUAUGUCCAUAUAUUGCCCACAAUUUAUGUAUUUAACUCAGUGAAUAAAGCUUAAAACAGUCUUUCUCAGGUCUAUUACUUUUCCCCAUGACCACUUUCCUUCUUUUGUCCCCC